UUCCUAUUCCAGCAGGGUCCUGGCCACCAGCCCCGGAUCACUCUGUGCAGAUGAAAUGGGGACCUUUUUGGUGUCCACCCCCUGGCAGCUUUGAAAAUCAUUUAGCUUCUAUCAUGAUGGAUACUCCCUGCCUAAAAUGAUGCAUGGGCAGCAUCUGAAAAAGGAUGACAUGAAAUUUGAAAAAUGAUAUGAGUGCUGGUGGACGGACAUUUUUUUUUUUUUAAAGAAAAGUUGACAUAAGUUUGAAAUAUAGCAUGGGGGACUGUUCUAUCAUUUGUCUUUCUCAGAAGAAAUCAGUAGCUGUUCUUUAUCAAUAUGUUCUUUGGGGAAGAAAACCUAUAUUCUAGUUAAAAUGAACUCUUUCCCCCUCCUUAAAAAGAACACGGGUCUUGCUUAUCUGCCCAUGAAUAAUCCACUGACUGACUCAGAUCAGAGGCAAACUUUUUCUCAUGAACCUCUGUAACUUCCUCAACAAUUCAAGACCGCCUCCCGAUGGCGGUUCAGCCUGUGCCCAGAGAUUUCCAGUUCCUUCAACAGAUUACCUUUCAAAUGUUUCAUCAACUUCAACAAAGCAAGGAUUUGCCCCAAAGGAUGAAUUAUUAUUUGGAGUGCUGCAUUAUUCCCUGGAAUGCUAGAAUUAAAGAAAAAUUUUCAAAACUAAAUAAAUAAAGAGCUACCCUCACUGCAGUAAU